CCUACGGGGGGCUGCAGUGAGGAAUAUUGGUCAAUGGACGAGAGUCUGAACCAGCCAAGUAGCGUGAAGGAUGACUGCCCUAUGGGUUGUAACCUUCUUUUAUAUGGGAAUAAAAUGUUCCACGUGUGGGAUUUUGUAUGUACUUUAUGAAUAAGGAUCGGCUAACUCCGUGCCAGCAGCCGCGGUAAUACGGAGGAUCCGAGCGUUAUCCGGAUUUCUUGGGGUUAAAGGGAGCGUAGGUGGGUUGUUAAGUCAGUUGUGAAAGUUUGCGGCUCAACCGUAAAAUUGCAGUUGAAACUGGCAGUCUUGAGUACAGUAGAGGUGGGCGGAAUUCGUGGUGUAGCGGUGAAAUGCUUAGAUAUCACGAAGAACCCCGAUUGCGAAGGCAGCUCACUGAACUGCAACUGACACUGAGGCUCGAAAGUGUGGGUAUCAAACAGGAUUAGAUACCCUUGUAGUC
rnacentral:rRNA from 1 species